GAUGAACGCUAGCGGCAGGCUUAACACAUGCAAGUCGAGGGGCAUCGAGAGUAGCAAUACUUGUCGGCGACCGGCGCAAGGGUGCGUAACACGUGAGCAACAUACCCGUUUCAGGAGGAUAACCGGAGGAAACUCUGCCUAAUACUCCAUGACAUCAUCAAACGGCAUCGUUUGAUGAUUAAAGAUUUAUCGGAAACGGCUUGGCUCGCGGGACAUUAGCUUGUUGGUGAGGUAACGGCUCACCAAGGCUACGAUGUCUAGGGGUUCUGAGAGGAAGGUCCCCCACACUGGAACUGAGACACGGUCCAGACUCCUACGGGAGGCAGCAGUGAGGAAUAUUGGACAAUGGUCGGAAGACUGAUCCAGCCAUGCCGCGUGAAGGUUACUGUCCUAUGGAUAUUAAACUUCUUUUGUAUGAGAGCAAUAAGGUGCACGCGUGCACCGAUGAGAGUAUCAUACGAAUAAGCAUCGG
rnacentral:rRNA from 1 species